CGCAAGCCUGACGGAGCAAGACCGCGUGAGGGAGGAAGGCCCUUGGGUUGUAAACCUCUUUUCUCAGGGAAGAAGACUGACGGUACCUGAGGAAUCAGCCUCGGCUAACUCCGUGCCAGCAGCCGCGGUAAUACGGAGGAGGCAAGCGUUAUCCGGAAUUAUUGGGCGUAAAGCGUCCGUAGGUGGUUAUUCAAGUCUGCUGUCAAAGCGUGGGGCUUAACUCCAUAGAGGCAGUGGAAACUGGAUGACUUGAGUGCGGUAGGGGUCGAGGGAAUUCCCAGUGUAGCGGUGAAAUGCGUAGAUAUUGGGAAGAACACCAGUGGCGAAAGCGCUCGACUGGGCCUGCACUGACACUGAGGGACGAAAGCUAGGGGAGCG
rnacentral:rRNA from 1 species